rnacentral:rRNA from 1 species
AUUGAACGCUGGCGGCAGGCCUAACACAUGCAAGUCGUGCGAGCGGCGGACGGGUGAGUAAUGUCUGGGGAUCUGCCCGAUGGAGGGGGAUAACUACUGGAAACGGUAGCUAAUACCGCAUACCAUCAGAUGAACCCAUAUGGGAUUAGCUUGUAGGUGGGGUAACGGCUCACCUAGGCGACGAUCCCUAGCUGGUCUGAGAGGAUGAUCAGGCACACUGGAACUUAGACACGGCCCAGACUCCUACGGAAGGCAGCAGUGGGGAAUAUUGCACGAUGGGCGAAAGCCUGAUGCAGCCAUGCCGCGUGGAUGAAGAAGGCCUUCGGGUUUUAAAGUACUUUCAGUCGGGAUGCGUUACCCACAGAAGAAGCACCGGCUAACUCCGUGCCAGCAGCCGCGGUAAUAC